UGAGUAACACGUAUCCAACCUGCCGUCUACUCUUGGACAGCCUUCUGAAAGGAAGAUUAAUACAAGAUGGCAUCAUGAGUCCGCAUGUUCACAUGAUUAAAGGUAUUCCGGUAGACGAUGGGGAUGCGUUCCAUUAGAUAGUAGGCGGGGUAACGGCCCACCUAGUCUUCGAUGGAUAGGGGUUCUGAGAGGAAGGUCCCCUACAUUGGAACUGAGACACGGUCCAA
rnacentral:rRNA from 1 species